CAUGUACUCCCUUCGUCCAGAAUUACUUGUCCCACAAAUGUAUAAAAAUUGAUGUAUCUAAAACUAAAAUACAUCUAGAUACAUCCAUUCAUAUGACAAGUAUUUUCGGAUGGAGGGAGUAUGAU
rfam:Hordeum vulgare subsp. vulgare, WGS project CAJW01000000 data, contig: morex_contig_2551079